rnacentral:rRNA from 1 species
UACGUAGGUGGCAAGCGUUGUCCGGAUUUACUGGGCGUAAAGAGCGCGCAGGCGGUCGUUCAAGUCGCGUGUGAAAGCCCCCGGCUCAACUGGGAGGGUCACGCGAUACUGAUCGACUCGAAGGCAGGAGAGGGUAGUGGAAUUCCCGGUGUAGUGGUGAAAUGCGUAGAUAUCGGGAGGAACACCAGUGGCGAAGGCGACUACCUGGCCUGUUCUUGACGCUGAGGUGCGAAAGCG